rnacentral:rRNA from 1 species
UACGUAGGGGGCAAGCGUUGUCCGGAUUUAUUGGACGUAAAGAGCGUGUAGGCGGUUCGGUAGGUCCGUUGUGAAAACUCGAGCUCAACCUCGAGACGCCGAUGGAAACCCCCGAACUAGAGUCCGGAAGAGGAGAGUGGAAUUCCUGGUGUAGCGGUGAAAUGCGCAGAUAUCAGGAAGAACACCCGUGGCUAAGGCGGCUCUCUAGUACGGUACUGACGCUGAGACGCGAAAGCGUGGGGAGCGAACAGG